GACGAACGCUGGCGGCGUGCUUAACACAUGCAAGUCGAACGAUGAAGAAGAGCUUGCUCUUCGGAUUAGUGGCGAACGGGUGAGUAACACGUGACUAACCUGCCCCUUUUCCUGGGAUAACGCUCCGAAAGGAGUGCUAAUACCGGAUACUCACAUCGAGGCACAUGCCUUGAUGUGGAAAGUUUUUCGGAAAGGGAUGGAGUCGCGGCCUAUCAGCUUGGUGGUGAGGUAACGGCUCACCAAGGCGACGACGGGUAGCCGGCCUGAGAGGGCGAACAGCCACACUGGGACUGAGACACGGCCCAGACUCCUACGGGAGGCAGCAGUGGGGAAUAUUGCACAAUGGGCGAAAGCCUGAUGCAGCGACGCCGCGUGAGGGAUGAAGGUCUUCGGAUUGUAAACCUCUUUCAGUAGGGACGAAGCGAAAGUGACGGUACCUAAAGAAGAAGCACCGGCUAACUACGUGCCAGCAGCCGCGGUAA
rnacentral:rRNA from 1 species